rnacentral:rRNA from 1 species
GACGUAGGGUGCAAGCGUUGUCCGGAUUUACUGGGCGUAAAGCGCGCGUAGGCGGCUCGUUAAGUGUGGAGUGAAAUGCCGGGGCUCAACCUCGGAUCGGCCGUGGCGACUCGUGGGCUGGAGCACUGUAGAGGCGGGUGGAAUUCCGGGUGUAGCGGUGGAAUGCGUAGAGAUCCGGAAGAACACCGGUGGCGAAGGCGGCCUGCUGGGCAGUAGCUGACACUGAGGCGCGACAGCGUGGGGAGCAAACAGG